GGGCCGCAGGCUGACGCAGCGACGCCGCGUGUGGGAUGACGGCCUUCGGGUUGUAAACCACUGUCAGGGGGAACGAAUACACGCUUCGUGCGUGGGUGACGGUACCUCCAAAGGAAGCACCGGCUAACUCCGUGCCAGCAGCCGCGGUAAUACGGAGGGUGCGAGCGUUGUCCGGAAUCACUGGGCGUAAAGGGCGCGUAGGUGGCCCGUUAAGUGGCUGGUGAAAUCCCGCGGCUCAACUGCGGGGCUGCCGGUCAUACUGGCGAGCUAGAACACGGUAGGGGCAGAUGGAAUUCCCGGUGUAGCGGUGGAAUGCGUAGAGAUCGGGAAGAAUACCAGUGGCGAAGGCGUUCUGCUGGGCCGUUGCUGACACUGAGGCGCGACAGCGUGGGGAGCAAACAGGAUUAGAUACCCUGGUAGUCCACGCCGUAAACGAUGGACACUAGACGUCGGGGGGAGCGACCCUCCCGGUGUCGUCGCUAACGCAGUAAGUGUCCCGCCUGGGGAGUACGGCCGCAAGGCUGAAACUCAAAAGAAUUGACGGA
rnacentral:rRNA from 1 species